rnacentral:rRNA from 1 species
AUUGAACGCUGGCGGCAUGCUUUACACAUGCAAGUCGAACGGUAACAGGUUAAGCUGACGAGUGGCGAACGGGUGAGUAAUGCAUCGGAACGUGCCCGAUCGUGGGGGAUAACGCAGCGAAAGCUGCGCUAAUACCGCAUACGAACUGAGGAUGAAAGCGGGGGACCGUAAGCCGUCGCGCGAUCGGAGCGGCCGAUGUCAGAUUAGGUAGUUGGUGGGGUAAAGGCCCACGAAGCCGACGAUCUGUAGCUGGUCUGAGAGGACGACCAGCCACACUGGGACUGAGACACGGCCCAGACUCCUACGGGAGGCAGCAGUGGGGAAUUUUGGACAAUGGGCGAAAGCCUGAUCCAGCAAUGCCGCGUGCAGGAAGAAGGCCUUCGGGUUGUAAACUGCUUUUGUACGGAGCGAAAAGGUCCUUUCUAAUACAAGGGGCUCAUGACGGUACCGUAAGAAUAAGCACCGGCUAACUACGUGCCAGCCGCCGCCGUAA